rnacentral:rRNA from 1 species
GUCCACGCCCUAAACGUUGAAUACUCGGUCUUGGCGAUAUACAGUCAGGGCCCAAGCGAAAGCGUUAAGUAUUCCACCUGGGAAGUACGUUCGCAAGAAUGAAACUCAAAGGAAUUGACGGGGGCCCGCACAAGCGGAGGAGCAUGUGGUUUAAUUCGAUGAUACGCGAGAAACCUUACCUGGGCUUGAAUGUGAGUGACCGGUGCCGAAAGGUACUUUUCCCGCAAGGGACACAAAACAAGGUGCUGCAUGGCUGUCGU